ACUCUCCAGAGUUCCGCCGCUUAGGCGGUUGUGCUAAUCUGCGUCAGCUGGGGCUGUAUUUGGAAGAAGAGGCGCUGCCUCCAGUCAAGUCUGUUUUUUUCAGGUGGGGACUGUAGGCCUUUGUGCCCUGCUGGAAAUCGUGAAAAGCAAGAGAGAAGAGUCCCAGUUAUUCUUGCUGCCUUUGAUAAGUGAAUUUAGGGCAACUACUAGUGCCAGUAGGCAUGGGGGAUCUACCGAUGAAGAAGACACAAAGUCUCCGCUCUCGUGGAGUUUACAGAGAAUAAUGAAUGAGAUUAAUUAAGAAAUGAAUGAGAUUAAUUGAAUGAAAUUGCCAGACUGAAUGAAGUGAAUGGCCUGAAUAUAAACAAUUUCCAAAUACAGAUAACACUGCAUAUCUGGUGUUUGCAAUACUCCCUUCGCACUUGAGGAAGAAGCACUAUGUCUGGGGCCAAGUGUGACCCUUUGUCUGUUGCUGGGUACCUUUCAUUUCGCACUUUCUCCUCUGCUGCUCUCCAGGUCAGACCCAGUCCUUCCCUCCUUUGUGUUCAGUGUUGGGUUUAUACGCUUUAACUAUAGCACUUAAUGCAAUGAUUUCUUUUCAGCAAUGAUAUUUGCAGAUGUGUGUUUCUCUCCCCAAUACAUUGUUAGUUUCAUGCGCGUCCGUGUGAAGAGACCACCAAACAGGCUUUAUGUGAGCAAUAAAGCUGUUUAUUUCACAUGGGUGCAGGUGGGCUAAGUUGGAGAAGAGAGUAAAAAGAUGCUGCUUACUGGAUUUGAAAUUGGUGAGAUGUUUCUUGGGCUGGUCGGUCUGAGGACCUGAGGUUGUAGGUGGAUCUUUCUCACGGAGCAAAGAGCAGGAGGACGGGAUUGAUCUCCCAAGGGAGGUCCCCCGAUCCGAGUCAUGGCACCAAAUUCCAUGUGCGUCGGUGUGAAGAGACCACCAAACAGGCUUUGUGUGAGCAAUAAAGCUGUUUAUUUCACAUGGGUGCAGGUGGGCUAAGUCCGAAAAGAGAGUCAGCGAAGGGAGAUAGGGGUGGGGCCGUUUUAUAGGAUUUGGGAAGGUAAUGGAAAAUUACAGUCAAAGGGGGUUGUUCUCUGGUGGGUAGGGGUGGAUCUCACAAAGUACAUUCUCAAGGGUGGGGAGAAUUACAAAGAACCUUCUUAAGGGUGGGGGAGACUACAAAGUACCUUCUUAAGGGUGGGGGAGAUUACAAAGUACAUUGAUCAGUUAGAGUGGGGCAGGAACAAAUCACAAUGGUGGAAUGUCAUCAGUUAAGGCUGUUUUUACUUCUUUUGUGGAUCUUCAGUUACUUUAGGCCAUCUGGAUGUAUACGUGCAAGUCACAGGGGAUGCGAUGGCCUGGCCUGGGCUCAGAGGCCUGACAGUUAGCUCCUUGAUCAACAAAAGGGACAACAUAUUGGUGAUUUUUCAUCACAGGUUUUUGUGUCUAGCUUACCAUUCUUGUAAAACAGCUUUCUCAAAGGUCACCUCAUAUCCUCUUAGUUGUUCAAACCAAUGAUCAUGUUUUGGCUUUUAGUUGAUCAUGUUUUGCUGCAGCUUCCCUCCCCUUCCCUUGUUGUCUUACCUUUCCUUACCCCACACCCUAACCUACUGAUGCUUUGGGGGCCACCAGAUGUGCCCAAAACCACACAUCUAAAUUUAUCACUCUCUUAUUAAAAAUCUUUGAUGCCUCCCAUGAGAAGAUUGCUAAUUGACUCCCCAAAUUCAUUCUCUCCUUUUUUUCUUAGGGAUAGAACUUGAGUUUAUAUCUAGGCACCUUGUCCCUCCAUUAAAUGAGUACAUUCCCCCAACUCCCUUUACAACUAGACCCAGCCAUGAGACUAAAUUUCUGGCCAAUAAAUGAAAAUGGAAGUGUUGCAUAGUGACCUCUGAGAAGUCACUUUGCUGUUCUGAGCAAUUUCAAUAGUUACACCUUACAUUAUUAUUAUCUUCAGAUAUAUCUGUCUCAAAGGGGAGGCCAACACAUUUUUAAGUAAUCAUAAUAUAGGAAAAAUUAUAUAUACCAUAGUAGACUUAGAGUUCCUCUCAUAAAGGAACAAAAUCCUAGUCUUCCUUUUGCCCCAAUGUCUGGCACCUUUCCUGGCAUACAGUUGGUCUUCAACAAAUGAUUGAUGGUGCAGGAGUUCCAAAUGCCCACUGAGCAUAAGGUCAAACAGGCACAAGGUGACAAUCAGGCAUCAGCGCAGUAGCUCACAGAUGGGGGCAGGCAGCAGGUAACCAGCCCUCUCAUCCCCCUGGUAAGAAAAAGCCUCUUGGAGAAAAAGAGAUUAAUUAGUUUAAAUCUGUAAGCUACCUUGAAGAUAAUGGAUGUUGGAUAUUUAGGCAAGGACAGGCUGGGUUUGGGACAGUAAUGUAUCUCCCAUAAUACAAGAGUGUGUAAUUAAGUAUGUUAAUGGAUUUUAUGUCCUUCUCUGAAGCAUCUGUCUUGGCCAGAGUGGAAGACAGAAUAUUGGACACACUGGACAAUUGAUCUCUUUAAUAGGACAGAACUUAUGCUCCUCUUUUAUGCCUCAAAAGCUACCAUUUCGCCCCAUGCCUGAUGACAUAAACUCCAAAGCCUGGUAAUGCGCACUCAGGGCAUCCUGCCACUGCUAAAUCAUUUGCAUCCCUAAACUAGGACAACUUUUUUACCCUCUUCUUUUGAAGUCAGUAGAGAUAAAUGCAUGCGAACUUCUGAUUCCUAUUUUGAUUUGGUGGUGGAAACACAAGAAAUGGAAGAAGACAGAAAUAAUAUGUAACAGAAUAAAUGACUUACUUCAUAAGUAAACUUUCCAAGUUCACGUAGGUGAUGAAGUCAGUAGCUUCCUUUUAAGCACUUGCAAGUUGAAUACUGUGAUAAACCUUUUACCUGCAUCAUCUCAUUUCAUCUGCACAAAGUCACAAAGACUAUAUUAUGACAAAUAUUUUCACAAGUUCACAGAGUUGCCCAAGUUUAUACAGACAAUAAAAGGCAGAGCCAGCGUUGGAACCCAGGGGAGUCUGAUUCUGAAACGCAUGCCUUUAACCACAUUGCCUUCCAUGUCAUGUACUCCACAGCCCAGUUAGAAGAAACUCCAGCUGCCUGGGAAGCGUGAGAUUUAAAAAAAAACAACAGCUUCACUAAGACAUAAUUCACAUACCAUACAAUUCAUCCAUCUAAUAUGUAUAAUUUGCUGUGUUUUGGUAUAUUCACAGAGUUUAGCAACCAUCACCAUAAUCAAUUUCAGGACAUUUUAUCACUUCUAAAAGAAACCCUGUACCCAUUAGCAGUUGCUCACCAUUUCCCCUACUUGCCAUCCCUCAACUCUAGCAACUGCUCAUCUACUUUCUGUCCAUAUACAUUUGCCUGUUCUGGACAGUUCAUAUGAAGGGAACCAUAAAGCAUGUAGUAUUUUAUGCCUGGCUUCUUCCGCUUACCAUAACAUUUUCAAAAUUUGUCCAUGUUGUAUCAUCUAUCAGUACUUUAUUCCUUUUCACUGCUGAGUAAUAUUUCAUUAUAUGGAUAUACCAUCUUUUAUUUAUUCAGUCAUCAGCUGAUAGGCAUUUGGUUUGUUUCUGCUUUCUAGCUAUUUCAAAUGUGUUGCUAUGGACAUUCCUGUACAUAUUUUUUGUGUGAAUAUAUGUUUUCAAUUCUCUUGGGUAUAUACCUAGUAGUACAAUUGCUGGCUCAUAUAAAAACUCUAUAUUUAACUUUUUGAGGAAACUGCCAGACUGUUUUCCAGAGACUGCACCGUAUUGCAUUUCUGUUAGCAGUGUGUAAGUAUUCCAAUCUCUCCAAAUCCUGGCCAACACUCAUUAUUAUCUGUCUUCUUUAUAAUAGCCAUCCUGGUGGGUGUGAAGUAGUUCUCGUUGUAGUUUUGAUAUGCAUUCUUCUGAUGGCUAAUGAUGCUGAGCAUCUUUUCAAGUGCUUAUUGGCCAUUUAUAUCUUCUUUGAAUAAAUAUUCAGAUCCUUUGCUUAUUUUUAUAUUGAGGUAUCUGUCUUUUCACUAUUGAGUUAUAAGAGUUCUUCAUAUAUUCUAGAAACAGUCUCUUUUUUUCUUUUUCUUUCUUUUUUUUUUUUUUUAAGACAAGGUCUCACUGUCACCCAGGCUGGAGUGCAGUGGUGUGAUCAUAGCUCACUGUAGCCUCACACUCCUGGGCUCAAAGGAUCCUUCUGCCUCAGCAUCCUGAGUAGCUGGGAUUACAGGCAGGAGCCAUAGUGCCUGUUUGAGUCUCUUGUCAGAUAUAUAAUUUGCCAAAAUGUUCUCACAUUCUGUAGGUGGCAGCAUGGACUUUGAGCCACUUAGCUGAGCAACACAUUCCCAGUGAGGCAAAGGGCUGUGGUCAAGGUCUUAUUUCCAAAACCAAGCACUGGCCUGGAUGUGGUCUGAUUGUGGUCUGAUUGUGGAAAGCAAAGGGAAAACAACUCUGACAAUGAGAAUUGUGUAUCUAAGCACAAGGUGCAUUACUCCCAGGAAAAAUUGGAUGAGUCAAAGGGAAAAUUUUCUUUUAUAUAUGUUUCAUUAUUUGUGUAGCUUUUAUUUGCAUUUCUGUUUUAUUUUAUGUGAAAUGGCAAGAUAAUGAGCAACUUGAGGCACACUGGUGACAGUCCUACAUGGUAUCUUCUAGCACCACGGGCUUCUCUGUGCACAAGUCCAUAAAAUCCAUGCAUUCUGUGUGUUUCUUUAAAGGCUUUCAAAUGCCCUUCUAUUGCUAAUGCCAGAUAUCAUUUGUUGAGCAUUUAACCAUGUGCUAGGAGAUGAGCUAAGGACUUUCUAUGUGAGCUAAGCCUGUUUCACUUCUUAACCCCUCACACUGGAUUUUAUUCUAGCGCUGGAGAGUCAUGGAAGGUUAGCAUUAGUAACAGGAGGGUGUUUGUUGGGACUUUGGGCAGAUUACUUGACCUCAUUAAGCCUCCUUUUCUCCUUCUGUUAUUUGUGGGGAGGAGAGUAACUAUUCCUGGAUGAUGAAAAACACUAAAUUAGAUAACAUAUUAAAAGAGCUCAAAACAGCACCUAGCUUCCUAUAGUACCUUAUUAUUUGCUGACAGUGCUGGAGCAUGAAUCUAGCCUCCUAUUUUCUUUCUUUCUUUUUUGAGACAGGGUCUCACUCUGUCACCCAGGCUGGAGUGCAUUGGCAUGGUCUUGGCUCACUACAACCUCUGCCUCCUGGGUUCAAGUGAUUCUCGUGUCUCAGCCUCCUGAGUAGCUGGGAUUACAGGCAUGAGCCACGAAGCCUAUUUUUUCGUAUUUUUGGUAGAGACAGGUUUCACCAUGUUGGCCAGGCCAGUCUCAAUCUCCUGGCCUCAAGUGAUCAGCCCGCCUCGGCCUCUCAAAGUGCUAGAAUUACAGGUGUGAGCCACUCUGCCCGGCUGAGGCCUCCUAUUUUCAAUAACAACACUAACCCAUCUAAGCUAUACCAUCUUGAAUCUGAAGAGCGAUAUUUAUAUUUUCUCUUUAAGGAGUGGCUUGCAGGAGAAGAAAUAAUAAGGAUUUGGGUAAAGAUGGAGUUGAAUUUGCUGCAUGAGUCACCAGGACACCACAACUGCAGCCAGUUUUCUCUUUUUAAAAAAAGUUGCUGUAUUAUUCUUUAUGUUUCCAAAGAGUAGGAUGAGAUUGUCCUGAGGCACUUUCAGGAUAGGUGAGGGCUCUAUGAACCCCUGCUUUGGCUGUUGCUGGUACCCAGGCCUCUCAAUUCAGUCGGUCCACACUCAAGGCUGUUUUAGGGCAGACUUUGUUUUUUUUUGUUGUUGUUGUUGUUUUUCUGAGAUGGAGUCUCGCUCUGUCGCCCAGGCUGGAGUGUGGUGGCGUGAACUCUGCUCACUGCAAGCUCCACCUCCCGGGUUCGCGCCAUUCUCCUGCCUCAGCCUCCCGAGUAGCUGGGACUACAGGUGCCCACCACCACGCCCGGCUAAUUUUUUGUAUUUUUAGUAGAGACUGGGUUUCACCGUGUUAGUUAGGAUGGUCUCCAUCUCCUGACCUCGUGAUCCGCCCGCCUUGGCCUCCCAAAGUGCUGGGAUUACAGAUGUGAGCCACCGCGCCCGAGGGCAGACUUUGAUUUACAGGUUGGUCUUACUCUAAGUGAAAAUGCAAGUAUGACACACAGAGAUUCAAAAAACCAGUGGUAAAUAGUCUUAGACUAGCUCUAGAACUAAAACAAGAGCUUUAGGGGGUCAUAACAUGAAUGCAUCAUGCAGCAUUUGGAAAAUUACUGCUGAGAUUGACCUAGAGGAGGGGUUAACUCCACUCUUUUUAAAGGAUCAGGCUGUCUUCACACUCAGUGAAAGACUCAGCUGUUUGAGCUGCCAGGCGUGCCCCACCCAGUGCUCUCCAAGAGCUGUGGGCCAGGACGACCACUCUGCAAGUCACAGACGCUUACUUAGGCAGAUGCUGCUCAGGGCUUGCCUCUGGUGACUGCAGGAGUUAAGUUUUAAAGGAGGGGGGCUACAACUUGUGUACCUUUCAGUAUGAUGUUGCCUCCAGUUUCCUCCUGGUUUGACCUGCACCGAGCCUCCCUUUCCAGUCCUGGUCUCGACUCAGAACUCUUUCCUAGUGCUUGGCUGUUCCAACUCCCACCAACUCUAGCAUCAAAAUGUGCCAAGACCUUUACUGCAUUUGUUAGAUUAUUUUCCUUAUAACAUUGGUACUUUAAAUCAGCUAAUCCUGUAUUAUUUAACCCAAAGCAUUUGAAUUUCCAGCGAACCUUAUUUUGUCAGCCUUAUUUUGGGUAUCACCAACCCCAUUUUGUAAAUGAAGGAACUCAGCCUUAGAAAGAUUAAGUGACUUGCUCACGAUCACAUAGCUAGCUGAGGACAGAAACGAACCUUGGCCAGGUUUUCUCACUUCCAAGCCAGGGCUCUGUCCAGGAUAUAAAGCUGCUUCAUGUGAGAUUUAGGAGUGUUUGUGACGUUCUCAUGGGGGUUGAAUAGGGACCAGGAGUGCAUACUUUGCACAGCAAGACAUUUUAAAGAAACAUCACCCAGUAACAUGGAAGACAAAGUCACCAGCAGAGUGGGUGACUGGCUGAGUAGGGAGAGCACUAAACUGACAGCUCAGAUCCGGCAUCGACUUUUCUCCUUAAACACGUUCCACUCACUCCUUACUUUGUUGUGGAUAAUCAUCAGUCCUAUGUAUUAUUUGACUACCUUCAUUAUUAAUCUCUUUUUAUGUCUCUACAUAUUAUGGGUGAUAAUCACAGUACAAUGGAUUAGUCACUGCACUUUAUGACAUGGUGAUUAAGGUUUUUUAGACUGUAGCAUGUUUCUGAGAAGAGCAGUCAUGAUAAAAUGCAUUUAUCCUGAGCAGGCUGUGUUGGGGAUAUGCUCUUCUAACACCCUUGGUACAAGGAGAGGCAGCUGGGUAUUGCUGGAAACAGUGAGGGCUUUGCAGUUUUAGGCAGAUAGACAGACAGGAGUCCUACCCUAUCUCUGCCACCUCCUAGCUCUGUAACUUUAGGAAAGUUUAGAGGAUAAAAAUAAUACAUAAUGGUACUUCAUAAUCAUUAAAUGAAGUCAUAUAGGUAAGGUACCAAGAUUAAGUCACUAAUUGUUACAUUGUAGUUAAUAUAAUGUAGAGGGAGAAACACCAGGUGAGGCGCUAGGUGAUUUGGGUGCCAGACCCAGGGGGUCCAUCACUUGCUGUGUGCUCUUAGAAAAGCAACCUUGCCUUGCUGAGCUUCAAUUUCCUCACCUGAACAAUGGAGCUAAUAGUAACCCACCUGGGAAAGUUGUUGUGAUGAUUAAAUGAGGUCACAUAUGUAACAGAGGCAGGGGGCAGGCGCUCAGUCAGUGCUUUUACUGUGGUCAUGAGGACAGAGCCCAGCCCUGAACUCCAGGUCAUUUUGCUAAACCUCUGGCCUGCUCUCUGUAUGAGGCCUGAGCCCUGCUCCCUCAGCCAUGAGUGGAUCCCAGCAUGUCUCAUUCCUGGGACUACAUAGAUUCUGUCAAUGUGUGUUUUUCCAGUGAUUGGCUGUUUUUAAAGAAAAAAUGAGCUACAGGACUUUCUUAUUUGAUUUCUUCAUCAGAGUUUUGUUAGUCCAAAUAAACAAUGUCUGAACAUUGUGCUCAUGGAAGAGCAUUUCAUACAUUACAUUAAACUAACAAGGUUGUGUCUGGUGUGUGAUCAUGAUUUCUGGAGGAAAAAAUAAUUCUAUUGAUUUAUCAUUCUUAACAAGCUGAACCUUGGUGGAAAUAGUUUGUGAGAUGCUUUAACAAGUUUAAGGAUUUCAUAAUUUUAGCUGGUCUUUCUCAGAAUCCUCCAAUUGUUGCAAUUAAAAAUAAAUGCCAGUUUACCACUGUUUCUUUGGAUCUCUGAGUAUCAUACUUGUGUUUCUACUCAGGAUAAUAUUAACUUGUAAAUCAGAGUCUUCUCUAAAACAGCCUUGAGUGUUGAUGUGGUUUGGGUGUUUGUCCCCUCCAAAUCUCUUGUUGAAAUGUGAUCCUCAGUGUUGGGGGAGAGGCCAGGUGGGAAGUGUUUGGAUCGUGGGGGUGGAUCCUUUGUGAAUGGCUUGGUGCUCUCCCGGUGGUCAUGAGUUCUCCUUCUAUUAGUUCAGGGGAGAGCUGGUUGUUUAAAAAUCCUGCCACCUCCUCCCUUUUGUCUCUUACUCCCCUUCUCUUACUCCCCCUCUCGCCAUGUGACACACUGCUCUCCUUCACCUUCUGCCAUGAUUGUAAGUUCCUGAGGCUCUCACCAAAAGCCAAGCAGACAUUGGUGCCAUGCUUGUAUAUGGCACUGCAGAACUACGAGCCAAAAGACACCUCUUUGUAAAUUACCCAGUCUCAGGUAUUCCUUUGUGGCAACACAAAUGGACUGAUACAAGUGUGGACAGACUGAACUGAGAAGCCUGGAUGCCAGCACUGGACAGAGCAAGGGCUCAUGGCAUUCUAACCUAUAAUGGAAGUGCCUCAGGACAAUCUCAUCCUACUCUUUUGAAACAUAAACAAUAAUAUAAUAACUUUUUUUAAAAAAAGAGAAAAAUGCAUCCAUAAUCUUCAUUUGCUAAUGUGAUUAUUUUUAUAUUUACACAUUUCCCCCUAGUUCUUGUCCAAAUGAUAAAUUUUACAUAUUUACAUAAUAUGCACAUAUCUUGUUAAUUUUUUUCUUCGAACAGUCUAUCAUAAUCAUAUUUAUAAUCUUUAUGUAAUCAUCAUAAUUACCAUUUGAAUGAUUUUAUCAUAUUUGUUAGAGUGCAUAUAC
rnacentral:lncRNA from 10 species